rnacentral:lncRNA from 1 species
ACUUCUCCACUCGCCUCCAGGAAUGGGUGUUGUAAAAGUCAAGUCAGCAUGUAUGAGAACACCAAUCUAUAAGAGUGUUCAACAAAGGAAGGCAUUGUUAUUUUACUAUCAUUAUUUUUACUACUUUAUGUUAUUUUGGAAAGAGCCAAGUCACCGAGGUGUCUUCUAUUAAAUCAAUUAGCCUGGAAGGAGAACUAAGCAAGAUGAGAAACUGAACGUAUCUGUGACUCUGCAAGCAGUCCCUGACGCUGUGGUGGGAUCCAGGCCUGGACGCUGUGGAUAAGGUAACUUUGGGUGUUUCAUGAAUAUCCAUAGUGACUGCUACCCCAAGUGAGCCCUGCCCAAAGAGAAUAAAAUGAGAGCCAUCUGGAACCCGGCAGAGCCAGGAAGUGUGGCCACAGGACUACAUUCUGGCCAACACAUAUGAGGAGAAAUGAUUUGAGCAACCCCUGGAUACAUCCUUAAAAAGCAGGGCGCUUGCCCUCCAUUUCCUCUUUCUCUACCUGGUGACUGGAAACAUGGUGACAACUGGAGCAGUCGCUUGGACACAGGAGAUGGAUAACAGAGCCACCCACCAGCCUUGCCUUGCUCACCUCUGGACUGUGACAGAAGAGAAUAAACUCCUGUCUCAUUAAA